AGUCAAGUGAAUAAGUGCAUCAGGUGGAUGCCUUGGCGAUGAUAGGCGAAGAAGGACGUGUAAGCCUGCGAAAAGCACGGAGAAGCUGGCAAAAAAGCAAUGAUACCGUGAUGUCCGAAUGGGGAAACCCACUGCACUCGUGCAGUAUCCUAGUCUGAAUACAUAGGGCUAGAGAAGCGAACCUGGAGAACUGAACCAUCUAAGUACCCAGAGGAAAAGAAAUCAACCGAGAUUCCGCAAGUAGUGGCGAGCGAACGCGGAAAAGCCUGUAUAUGAUAAUGGUUAAGAUAGAAGAAGGGAUUGGAAACUUCCGCCAUAGUGGGUGAUAGCCCCGUAUUUGAAAUCUUAACCAUGGUACUAAGUAUACGAGAAGUAGGGCGGGACACGUGAAAUCCUGUCUGAAUAUGGGGGGACCAUCCUCUAAGGCUAAAUACUCAUCAUCGACCGAUAGUGAACCAGUACCGUGAGGGAAAGGCGAAAAGAACCCCGGAAGGGGAGUGAAAUAGAACCUGAAACCUGAUGCAUACAUACAGUGGGAGCAUCUUUGUGGUGUGACUGCGUACCUUUUGUAUAAUGGGUCAACGACUUACAUUCAGUAGCGAGCUUAACCGAGUAGGGGAGGCGUAGGGAAACCGAGUCUUAAUAGGGCGACUAGUUGCUGGGUGUAGACCCGAAACCGAGUGAUCUAUCCAUGGCCAGGAUGAAGGUGCGGUAAAACGCAUUGGAGGUCCGAACCCACGCAUGUUGCAAAAUGCGGGGAUGAGCUGUGGAUAGGGGUGAAAGGCUAAACAAACUCGGAGAUAGCUGGUUCUCCCCGAAAACUAUUUAGGUAGUGCCUCGAGUAUGAGACUGAUGGGGGUAAAGCACUGUUAUGGCUAGGGGGUUAUUGCAACUUACCAACCCAUGGCAAACUAAGAAUACCAUCAAGUUGCUCCUCGGGAGACAGACAUCGGGUGCUAACGUCCGGUGUCAAGAGGGAAACAACCCAGACCGCCAGCUAAGGUCCCAAAUGAUAGAUUAAGUGGUAAACGAAGUGGGAAGGCACAGACAGCCAGGAUGUUGGCUUAGAAGCAGCCAUCAUUUAAAGAAAGCGUAAUAGCUCACUGGUCGAGUCUUCCUGCGCGGAAGAUGUAACGGGGCUCAAAUCUAUAACCGAAGCUGCGGAUAUACUUUUGUAUAUGGUAGGGGAGCGUUCUGUAAGCCUGUGAAGGUGACUUGUAAAGGUUGCUGGAGGUAUCAGAAGUGCGAAUGUUGACAUGAGUAGCGAUAAAGUGGGUGAAAAGCCCGCUCGCCGAAAGCCCAAGGUUUCCUACGCAACGUUCAUCGGCGUAGGGUGAGUCGGCCCCUAAGGCGAGGCAGAAAUGCGUAGUCGAUGGGAAACAGGUUAAUAUUCCUGUACUUUGAUUCAAUGCGAUGUGGGGACGGAGAAGGUUAGGUUAGCAAACUGUUGGAAUAGUUUGUUUAAGCUAGUAGGUGGAAAGAGUAGGCAAAUCCGCUCUUUCUUAACACCGAGACGUGAUGACGAGUGUCUACGGACAUGAAGUGACCAAUACC
rnacentral:rRNA from 1 species